rnacentral:rRNA from 1 species
GACGAACGCUGGCGGCGUGCUUAACACAUGCAAGUCGAGGGCACUGUGGGGGCGAACCCUCGGAGUGACCGGCGAACGGGUGCGUAACACGUGAGCGACCUUGCCUCGUGGUGGGGGAGUAGCCGGCCCAACGGCCGGGUAAGUACCGCAUAGGGUGCUGACUCCGCAUGGAGACGGCAGCAAAGCCCUGGAGCAAUCCAGUGGCGCCACAGGGGGGCGGUCGCGGCCG